UUUUACAGUGUCCUACUUUUAUACUGUACCAGACUAGGACUGCCUUCCAUGGUAGAAGUCCACUUGGGUCUUGGUCCCUCUCAGAAUAGUUGUUAGCUUCAGCCUCCAAGUCCAACUAUUCUGGAUUUAUGAUAAAUGAAGGCACCAAGAACAUUAUCUAUUUCAGCAAAAACACACUAAGCAUUAGAUGGGAUCCAGCUUCUAAAUGCACUUCUGAGCCCCUGUGUAAUCAGAGCUCCCACGAAGAGAAACAUUGGACGGGAGGAAGACCAACGGGAGCUUCCAAGAUACCUCCUCAGGGGCCUGGUGUUGGGGGUCUUCAGUGGGGGUGACCAUGUGUACAUGUGGCAGAGGCAAACAACAGCUGUCUUUCAGUUUAGAAAAGGAUUUCUGAGUGAACUAAACCAGAAAGCUGCCCUGGGGAUCCAGGAAGGUUAACUUCUGAGUGUGUAAGAGUUGUUUGUGUGUGUUGUGGAAUUACUAACUGCAGCACUGAUAGCCAGCCUCGAUCACUUUCUCUUUUCUCUCUCUUGUUUCCCUCAUGGUCCUCACACACUCAAUAGGCUAGUCAGCAGGGUCUCCUCCAGUGAACUUACUCCAUCUAAGAGGAAUGUGUGUUGGACACCCACCCACACACACAUGGCCACAAACGCAUGAAACCAAAUGUGCACACAAAUUCAAGCAGCUGUCUUUGAAAGUGAAAUAUCUGGCAGCAGCAGGUGGCUUCAAAAUGCUUACUGGAAUCACAAUCAUUCACUGACCAAGGCUGCAUAGCUGAAAAACAUUUGUCACCAAAGAUUUUUAAAUUAAUAUUUUUCUACAAGAGCUCUUGCCCAGGUUAGUUUAAUACUUGGUGGUGAAAUUCAAGUACAAAGGAUUACUUCAAGAUGAUCUUCUGGUUCUUUAAAUCUGCAUGUAAAGGGAAAGCAGAGCACCCAUGUGAAACGAAGGUGGAGAAUGUGCUAAGUCCACAAAUAAAGGCCAACUCGGGCUCAACAAGGAUCUACAUAGAGGGUUUCUGUACAUUCAUCCUGUGUUAGACUUUAACUUCAUGCAGAACAUUCUCAACCUGUCGUUAAAGCAUGCCGGGACUGCUUCCAGGUCUGCUAACCGACCUAAAUAUGAUCAGGGGAAUUUUUACGUAAUAGAUGAAUAAAUGGACUGAUGGGUUUCAAGCAGAUACAUAACAGAGACACGAUGACGUGUGUAAUCCUGGACUGAAAUCGAUCCACAUGCUUAAUUUAGACUAUGGACAUUUCAUGUCUGAGGAAAUAAAAAACAUGACUUCGCUUGGC